rnacentral:rRNA from 1 species
GCAUGUUUUUGACAUUUGAAAAAUGGACUGCUCAGUAAUACUCACUUUAUUUUAUGUAAAUUUUUGAUUAAUUAACUACGUUAAAGUGUAGAUAAGAUGUUUACAGUAAGAGUGAGACCUAUCAGCUAGUUGUUAAGGUAAUGGCUUAACAAGGCUGUGACGGGUAACGGUAUUACUUUGUAAUAUUCCGGAGAAGGAGCCUGAGAGACGGCUACUAAGUCUAAGGAUUGCAGCAGGGGCGAAACUUGACCUAUGGAUUUUAUCUGAGGCAGUUAUGGGAAGUAAUAUUAUAUUGUUUCAUAUUUUAAAAGUAUAUGAGGUGAUUAAUUGGAGGGCAAAUCAAGUGCCAGCAGCCGCGGUAAUACUUGUUCCAAGAGUGUGUAUGAUGAUUGAUGCAGUUAAAAAGUCCGUAGUUUAUUUUUUUAAGAAGCAAUAUGAGGUGUACUGUAUAGUUGGGAGAAAGAUGAAAUGUGACGACCCUGACUGGACGAACAGAAGCGAAAGCUGUACACUUGUAUGUAUUUUUUGAACAAGGACGUAAGCUGGAGGAGCGAAGAUGAUUAGAUACCAUUGUAGUUCCAGCAGUAAACUAUGCCGACGAUGUGAUAUGAAAAUGUUAAUUUGUAUUACAUAAUAGAAAUUUGAGUUUUUUGGCUCUGGGGAUAGUAUGAUCGCAAGAUUGAAAAUUAAAGAAAUUGACGGAAGAAUACCACAAGGAGUGGAUUGUGCGGCUUAAUUUGACUCAACGC